GUCGAACGCUGGCGGCGUGCCUAAUACAUGCAAGUCGAACGCAGUGGGGACGGGUGAGUAACAAGUGGGUAACCUCCCAUCAGAGGGGAUAACCCUUGGAAACAGGUGCUAAACCGAAAUUGAUGGAUCGACUCGCGGUGCAUUAGCUUGUUGGUGAGGUAACGGCUGACCAAGGCCACGAUGCAUAGCCGGCCUGAUAGGGUGAUCGGCCACACUGGGACUGAGACACGGCCCAGACUCCUACGGGAGGCAACAGUGGGGAAUCUUCGGCAAUGGACGAAAGUCUGACCGAGCAACGCCGCGUGAGUGAAGAAGGUAUUCGGAUCGUAAAACUCUGUUGUUAGAGAAGCGGUAUCUACCCAGAAAGCCACGGCUAACUACGUGCCAGCAGCCGCGGUAAUAC
rnacentral:rRNA from 1 species